rnacentral:rRNA from 1 species
AGUGAACGCUGGCGGCGUGCUUAACACAUGCAAGUCGAACGAGACGAUUGAAAGCUUGCUUUCGAAAGUCGAGUGGCAAACGGGUGAGUAACGCGUAGACAACCUGCCUUUGAGAUGGGGACAACAGUUCGAAAGGACUGCUAAUACCGAAUGUUGUAUAUUUUCCACAUGGAAGAUAUAUUAAAGAUGGCCUCUAUUUAUAAGCUAUCGCUCAAAGAUGGGUCUGCGUCUGAUUAGCUAGUUGGUGGGGUAACGGCCUACCAAGGCGACGAUCAGUAGCCGGUCUGAGACGAUGAACGGCCACAUUGGGACUGAGACACGGCCCAGACUCCUACGGGAGGCAGCAGUGGGGAAUCUUCCACAAUGGACGAAAGUCUGAUGGAGCAACGCCGCGUGAGUGAAGAAGGGUUUCGGCUCGUAAAGCUCUGUUGUCGGGGACGAAUGUGCAGUAUUUGAAUAAAGUACUGUAAUGACGGUACCUGACGAGGAAGCCACGGCUAACUACGUGCCAGCAGCCGCGGUAA